rnacentral:rRNA from 1 species
CCCUAUGGGGUGUUCUGGAGAGAGCCAUGAAGAGUUUGAGGCGUGAGAGUCCCGGGUGUGUGGCGUUGUUCGCGCUGGAUGUCGUGGUCAACGAAAUGUCCUCCCUCGUCUAAGGAUGUUUGGCUGCGUGGGGUUUUCUCCUGCGAACAUUUAAAAUCCUGACUUUCAUCAGCAGGAGUUUCCCGCUGCGAUUUUAUGGGGAUCCGGCUAUUUCCCGACGUGCAUUUCCCGAAACAACGACUCAAGCUGGUCCUCGGGAAGAAGUUUUCCCUCCAGAACGAUCUCUCGAAUGGUCUUCCCCGUCCGGUAAGCCUCCAGUGCGAUCUUGGAUGCUUGAUCGUAGCCCAGGAUGGGAGUCAAAUAGGUGGUGAGGGC